UUCAAAAAGGACAUAUAAAUAUAAAAAGGAAUUAGAUUUCAUUGCAAGAAAAUCAACGAAAUUGAAAGGAAACAAAAGGUUAACGCUUUUCGGGGAAAAAAUCUCUCGACUAACCUGAGAAAACACAACAACAAAAGAGAGGAGGGGUUCAUUUUGUAUAUGAAGCAUUUGCUUUUUUUUUUCCCAAGGCGAAGCCCGAAGGAGGAAGAACAUGAGAGGCGCGUACAAUGCUCCCCACCCCAGGCCCCAUCCAUCAGUAAACAAAACAAAGAUGACUUCGUUUGCGAAUUGCAGUACUUGCAACUAAACUUUACAAUUAUUAUCUUCUCUAACGGCUAUAAACUCUAGUGUCUACAUAGCUUAACUUGGUUUAUUUUUUGGUGUCAUAUAAUCCAUCACUACCACAAAUCCACAAUAAUAAUCCAAGAUUGUCCUCUUUCCCUCCAACGGUUCACUUCCUACGUACAAAUCAUCCUUAAUUUCCAUCUCUUUCCAUUACCAAAAAUCUCUCCUCCUUUUUUCCCGUCAACAAGGAGAACCGACGCAUCUUUCCCCUGCUUUGCUUCGAAAAUGGAGGGCGGUGCUGCUGCUGCUACUGCGAAAGUCGAGCAUAUAACAAAGGCCUCCUCCGUUGAGCUGCUGAGCAAGUUUGCUCAAGUGAGUUCCAAGAGCAACAAUAAUAAACUUGCUCUACCUCUUGUUAAGAAGAAGAAUAAGAAUUUGCGUUUGUCGACGAAACGUCAGAAAAUAAAUAGAGAGAAACCGGACGGGACUAACUACGAGAGUCUAUUGAACAAUUGUGCAGCCGAUAGGAAAUCACUUCUUGCUCCUGCUGCCAACCGGAAAUCCACUGCCUCGAUCCGCUUAGCGAAGGCCAGGAAUCUCAAGAACAAGUCCCUUCUGGGAAGUCUUCAAAAGACAUGGCGUAAAACGGUGGAAGGGGCUUCAAAGAUCUUCAUAGAGAGACAUUACAAUCGGCACAAGCGCUUAAUUAGUGACCUUGCAUGAGUCCAGUUACAAUCUCUGUGGCAAACAGUCGUCGUUAACAUUUGUUCAAUACUUGUUAUAUUGCAAAUAGACAUUAUAGUAGUGGAUUUGUCUCUAGUUCCUGCAAAUACAUUUGUGAAUCGAAUAUGAACAAAAUAAAUUCUGUGAAAUCACCUUGACAAAAAAAGUUAUGAACGAUUUUUUAAUUAAUGUAUUAA